UUAGCUUGCUAACAGGCGUCGAGUGGCGGACGGGUGAGUAACGCGUAGGAAUCUACCAAUAGCGGGGGAUAGCCCGGAGAAAUCCGGAUUAAUACCGCAUAAUCUCUACGGAGUAAAGAGGGCCUCUAUUUAUAAGGCUUUCACUAUUUGAUGAGCCUGCGUAAGACUAGCUUGUUGGUGAGGUAACAGGCUCACCAAGGCGACGAUCUUUAGCUGGUCUGAGAGGAUGAUCAGCCACACUGGGACUGAGACACGGCCCAGACUCC
rnacentral:rRNA from 1 species